rnacentral:rRNA from 1 species
UCAGGUGGGCAGUUUGACUGGGGCGGUCGCCUCCUAAAAGUAACGGAGGCGCCCAAAGGUUCCCUCAGAAUGGUUGGAAAUCAUUCGCAGAGUGUAAAGGCACAAGGGAGCUUGACUGCGAGACCUACAAGUCGAGCAGGGACGAAAGUCGGGCUUAGUGAUCCGGUGGUUCCGCAUGGAAGGGCCAUCGCUCAACGGAUAAAAGCUACCCCGGGGAUAACAGGCUUAUCUCCCCCAAGAGUCCACAUCGACGGGGAGGUUUGGCACCUCGAUGUCGGCUCAUCGCAUCCUGGGGCUGUAGUCGGUCCCAAGGGUUGGGCUGUUCGCCCAUUAAAGCGGUACGCGAGCUGGGUUCAGAACGUCGUGAGACAGUUCGGUCCCUAUCCGUCGUGGGCGUAGGAAAUUUGAGAGGAGCUGUCCUUAGUACGAG